GAUGAACGCUGGCGGCGUGCUUAACACAUGCAAGUCGAACGGGAAAUAUUUCAUUGAGACUUCGGUGGAUUUGAUUUAUUUCUAGUGGCGGACGGGUGAGUAACGCGUGGGUAACCUGCCUUAUACAGGGGGAUAACAGUCAGAAAUGGCUGCUAAUACCGCAUAAGCGCACAGAGCUGCAUGGCUCAGUGUGAAAAACUCCGGUGGUAUAAGAUGGACCCGCGUUGGAUUAGCUAGUUGGUGGGGUAGCGGCCCACCAAGGCGACGAUCCAUAGCCGGCCUGAGAGGGUGAACGGCCACAUUGGGACUGAGACACGGCCCAGACUCCUACGGGAGGCAGCAGUGGGGAAUAUUGCACAAUGGGGGAAACCCUGAUGCAGCGACGCCGCGUGAAGGAAGAAGUAUCUCGGUAUGUAAACUUCUAUCAGCAGGGAAGAUAGUGACGGUACCUGACUAAGAAGCCCCGGCUAACUACGUG
rnacentral:rRNA from 1 species